AGCAGUCGCCGCGGUAAAACGUAGGUGGCAAGCGUUGUCCGGAAUUAUUGGGCGUAAAGCGCGCGCAGGCGGAUAGGUCAGUCUGUCUUAAAAGUUCGGGGCUUAACCCCGUGAUGGGAUGGAAACUGCCAAUCUAGAGUAUCGGAGAGGAAAGUGGAAUUCCUAGUGUAGCGGUGAAAUGCGUAGAUAUUAGGAAGAACACCAGUGGCGAAGGCGACUUUCUGGACGAAAACUGACGCUGAGGCGCGAGAGCCAGGGGAGCGAACGGGAUUAGAUACCCCGGUAGUCCCUGUCUCUUAUACA
rnacentral:rRNA from 1 species